GAAGCGGUAACAGCUCAAAUUUGAAAUCUGGCUCUUGCGGAGUCCGAGUUGUAAUUUGUAGAAGAUGCUUUGGGUUGUGGGUUCGGCCUAAGUUCCUUGGAACAGGACGUCAUAGAGGGUGAGAAUCCCGUAUGUGGCCGAGGCCCGCGCCUAUGUAAAGCUCUUUCAACGAGUCGAGUUGUUUGGGAAUGCAGCUCAAAAUGGGUGGUAAAUUUCAUCUAAAGCUAAAUAUGGGCCAGAGACCGAUAGCGCACAAGUAGAGUGAUCGAAAGAUGAAAAGCACUUUGGAAAGAGAGUUAAACAGUACGUGAAAUUGUUGAAAGGGAAGCGCUUGCAACCAGACUUGGGCGCUGCCGAUCACCUUGAGUUUUCUCGAGUGCACUCGACAGCGCACAGGCCAGCAUCGGUUCGGGUGGCUGGAUAAAGGCCGUAGGAAUGUGGCUCUCUUCGGGGAGUGUUAUAGCCUACGGUGCCAUGCAGCCCAGCCGGACCGAGGACCGCGCCUUCGGGCUAGGAUGCUGGCGUAAUGGUUGUAAGCGACCCGUCUUGAAACACGGACCAAGGAGUCUAACAUCUAUGCGAGUGUUUGGGUGGUAAACCCAUACGCGGAAUGAAAGUGAACGUAGGUGAGAACCCCUUUGGGGCGCAUCAUCGACCGAUCCUGAUGUCUUCGGAUGGAUUUGAGUAAGAGCAUAGCUGUUGGGACCCGAAAGAUGGUGAACUAUGCCUGAAUAGGGUGAAGCCAGAGGAAACUCUGGUGGAGGCUCGCAGCGGUUCUGACGUGCAAAUCGAUCGUCAAAUUUGGGCAUAGGGGCGAAAGACUAAUCGAACCAUCUAGUAGCUGGUUCCUGCCAAGUUC
rnacentral:rRNA from 1 species